UAUAUAGUCCGGCUAGAAUAUUAUCGAUAGCACCAAGGAUUUGGUACUAUCGAGUUUUCCACUGCUAUCCGUUAGAUUAUACUAUUCAACCACCAACCGUUUACUCAACCCUGUUAGGAGGCUCACAUCAUCUUAACCACACAUUUCUCAAUUUAAGAGCUAAAAAACUAAUAACACCAAUAAAUUUAUGCUAUUGAUAGUAUUCCAGCAUAAUUCUAUAUAUAUAUAUAUAAAAAGUAGCAUUUUCAUAAAAUUGCAAAUUGGUAAAA
rnacentral:lncRNA from 1 species